UACGUAUGGUGCAAGCGUUAUCCGGAUUUACUGGGUGUAAAGGGUGCGUAGGUGGUAUGGUAAGUCAGAAGUGAAAGCACGGGGCUCAACCCCGUGACUGCUUUUGAAACUAUCAAACUAGAGUCCAGGAGAGGUAAGCGGAAUUCCUAGUGUAGCGGUGAAAUGCGUAGAUAUUAGGAGGAACACCAGUGGCGAAAGCGGCUUACUGGACUGGUACUGACACUGAGGCACGAAAGCGUGGGGAGCAAACAGG
rnacentral:rRNA from 1 species